UGUAAGCGUAAACCAAAGUUGUUGCAGUUAAAACGCUCGUAGUCGGAAUUUGGCAGUUCCGGAUGUGUGCACGUCGUGUGCGCACUUCGCGGGGAUUGCUUUUGUGGUCUUGCGUAGGAUGAGGCACUUUUAUUAGUGAACGUCCUCACGCAACCACUUUUUACUGUGAGAAAAUCAGAGUGCUCAAAGCAGGCAUUUGCCGUGAAUGUAUUAGCAUGGAAUAAUAGAAUAGGACUUGGUUCUAUUUUGUUGGUUUGUUGGGACUGAGUAAUGAUUAAGAGGGACAGUUGGGGGCAUUUGUAUUUCGGUGCUAGAGGUGAAAUUCUUAGAUUACCGAAAGACAAACUGCUGCGAAAGCGUCUGCCAAGGAUGUUUUCAUUGA
rnacentral:rRNA from 1 species